UACGUAGGGGGCAAGCGUUGUCCGGAUUCACUGGGUGUAAAGGGCGCGUAGGCUGUUAAAUAAGUCAGAGGUGAAAUCUCACGGCUCAACCGUGAAACUGCCUUUGAUACUGUUUAACUUGAGUAUGGAAGAGAGAGACGGAAUUCCAGGUGUAGUGGUGAAAUACGUAGAUAUCUGGAAGAACACCAGAGGCGAAGGCGGUCUCUUGGUCCAUAACUGACGCUGAGGCGCGAAAGCGUGGGGAGCGAACAGG
rnacentral:rRNA from 1 species